CCCCCGGAACCCUGGUCCCGCGGGACCCGACGGAAACGGAAUCGGAGGCCCGGAUCAUGAGUUACGGCCCCUUCUUUGCGGCCCCCGAGGACGUGCGAUAUAGCCCCCCGGGCCACCCCCCAUCCGGCCGCACCCGCCCGAACCCCACCGAACGCGUCCGCCGCCUCCCGAUCCCGCCCCGCGGUCCCCCCCGGGGCAUGAACCGGCCCCCGGCGGGCCGAAACCGGCCAAACCGGCUAAACCGCCCCGAUCAUGCCCAUUUUUCGGCGUUCAAACCGCCGC
rnacentral:lncRNA from 1 species